rnacentral:rRNA from 1 species
AUUGAACGCUGGCGGCAUGCCUUACACAUGCAAGUCGAACGGCAGCGGGCCUUCGGGUGCCGGCGAGUGGCGAACGGGUGAGUAAUGCAUCGGAACGUGCCAUUGAGUGGGGGAUAACGUAGCGAAAGUUACGCUAAUACCGCAUAUUCUGUGAGCAGGAAAGCAGGGGACCGCAAGGCCUUGCGCUCUUUGAGCGGCCGAUGUCAGAUUAGCUAGUUGGUGAGGUAAAGGCUUACCAAGGCGACGAUCUGUAGCGGGUCUGAGAGGAUGAUCCGCCACACUGGAACUGAGACACGGUCCAGACUCCUACGGGAGGCAGCAGUGGGGAAUUUUGGACAAUGGGCGCAAGCCUGAUCCAGCCAUGCCGCGUGAGUGAAGAAGGCCUCGGUUGUAAGACUCUUUCGUAACGGGAAAAACGGUAGAAUAGGUGGUAGUAAU